GGCUCAGAACGACCGCUGGCGGCGUGCCUAACACAUGCAAGUCGCGCGAGAAAAGGGAGCAAUCCCCGAGUAAAGCGGCGAACGGGUGAGUAACACGUAGGUAACCUACCCCCGAGACCGGGAUAACCUACCGAAAGGUGGGCUAAUACCGGAUAUGACCACGGGAGCCACGGCUCCUGCGGUGAAAGCUGGCCUCUGCUUGCAUGCCAGUACUCGAGGAUGGGCCUGCGCGCCAUUAGCUAGUUGGUGGGGUAACGGCCCACCAAGGCGAUGAUGGCUAGCUGGUCUGAGAGGAUGACCAGCCACACUGGGACUGAAACACGGCCCAGACUCCUACGGGAGGCAGCAGUGGGGGAUAUUGCGCAAUGGGCGAAAGCCUGACGCAGCGACGCCGCGUGGGUGAUGAAGGCCUUCGGGUCGUAAAGCCCUGUCGAGGGGGAAGAAACGGUUCCGACCUAAUACGUCGGGACCCUGACGGUACCCCUAAAGGAAGCACCGGCUAACUCCGUGCCAGCAGCCGCGGUAAUACGGAGGGUGCGAGCGUUGUUCGGAAUCACUGGGCGUAAAGCGCGUGUAGGCGGUCCGUUAUGUCUGAUGUGAAAGCCCGGGGCUCACCCCCGGAAGGGCAUUGGAAACUGGCGGACUCGAGUCCCGGAGAGGAGGGUGGAAUUCCUGGUGUAGCGGUGAAAUGCGUAGAUAUCAGGAGGAACACCGGUGGCGAAGGCGGCCCUCUGGACGGUGACUGACGCUGAGACGCGAAAGCGUGGGGAGCAAACAGGAUUAGAUACCCUGGUAGUCCACGCUGUAAACGAUGAGCACUAGGUGUCGCGGGUAUUGACCCCUGCGGUGCCGACGCUAACGCAUUAAGUGCUCCGCCUGGG
rnacentral:rRNA from 1 species